rfam:Danio rerio chromosome 5, GRCz11 reference primary assembly.
GCCAGCAGCUAGCUCUCUGCAACUCUCACAUGGUCACCCACUGAAACUAAGCAGGGCUGCGCCUGGUCAGUACCUUGAAGGGAAACCACAUGGGAAAGUUGGGCUGCUGCCGGAA